GACGAACGCUGGCGGCGUGCUUAACACAUGCAAGUCGAACGGAAAGGCCCUGCUUGCAGGGUACUCGAGUGGCGAACGGGUGAGUAACACGUGGGUGAUCUGCCCUGCACUUCGGGAUAAGCCUGGGAAACUGGGUCUAAUACCGGAUAGGAGCCAUUUUUAGUGUGAUGGUUGGAAAGUUUUUUCGGUGUAGGAUGAGCUCGCGGCCUAUCAGCUUGUUGGUGGGGUAAUGGCCUACCAAGGCGGCGACGGGUAGCCGGCCUGAGAGGGUGGACGGCCACAUUGGGACUGAGAUACGGCCCAGACUCCUACGGGAGGCAGCAGUGGGGAAUAUUGCACAAUGGGCGCAAGCCUGAUGCAGCGACGCCGCGUGGGGGAUGACGGACUUCGGGUUGUAAACUCCGUUCGCUAGGGACGAAGCUUUUUGUGACGGUACCUAGAUAAGAAGCACCGGCUAACUACGUG
rnacentral:rRNA from 1 species